UGGGGAAUAUUGCACAAUGGGCGCAAGCCUGAUGCAGCCAUGCCGCGUGUAUGAAGAAGGCCUUCGGGUUGUAAAGUACUUUCAGCGGGGAGGAAGGGAGUAAAGUUAAUACCUUUGCUCAUUGACGUUACCCGCAGAAGAAGCACCGGCUAACUCCGUGCCAGCAGCCGCGGUAAUACGGAGGGUGCAAGCGUUAAUCGGAAUUACUGGGCGUAAAGCGCACGCAGGCGGUUUGUUAAGUCAGAUGUGAAAUCCUCGGGCUCAACCUGGGAACUGAAUCUGAUACUGGCAAGCUUGAGUCUCGUAGAGGGGGGUAGAAUUCCAGGUGUAGCGGUGAAAUGCGUAGAGAUCUGGAGGAAUACCGGUGGCGGAGGCGGCCCCCUGGACGAAGACUGACGCUCAGGUGCGAAAGCGUGGGGUGCAAACAGG
rnacentral:rRNA from 1 species